rnacentral:rRNA from 1 species
CACCUACGGGAGGCAGCAGUGGGGAAUUUUGGACAAUGGGCGCAAGCCUGAUCCAGCAAUGCCGCGUGCAGGAUGAAGGCCUUCGGGUUGUAAACUGCUUUUGUACGGAACGAAAAGGUUCUCUCUAAUACAGGGGGCAUAUGACGGUACCGUAAGAAUAAGCACCGGCUAACUACGUGCCAGCAGCCGCGGUAAUACGUAGGGUGCGAGCGUUAAUCGGAAUUACUGGGCGUAAAGCGUGCGCAGGCGGUUUUGUAAGACAGAGGUGAAAUCCCCGGGCUCAACCUGGGAACUGCCUUUGUGACUGCAAGGCUGGAGUGCGGCAGAGGGGGAUGGAAUUCCGCGUGUAGCAGUGAAAUGCGUAGAUAUGCGGAGGAACACCGAUGGCGAAGGCAAUCCCCUGGGCCUGCACUGACGCUCAUGCACGAAAGCGUGGGGAGCAAACAGGAUUAGAUACCCUGGUAGUCCACGCCCUAAACGAUGUCAACUGGUUGUUGGGGGUUAAUUCACUCAGUAACGAAGCUAACGCGUGAAGUGACC